UUUUGAUGGAUCUGUGAAAUUAUAGGUAACCACAAAUUGAUAGUAUUCCAAAUUAACUAGUAAAAAAUCGGUCAUUUAGGUACAAAAUUCAAGCUUUUGUCAAAAUAACUUUGGACUUCAAAAUCCCGAAUCGGGUCCAAACGCCGAGGCCGAUGACGGCGAUCUUGAUGACCUGACCAACUUCAACGCCAGACCUCCCAUCGUACACGUCCUAGUGAGAGACGAGGCAAACGAUGGCAGGCGCCAUAUGCCGAAGACAAUUUUCACGGCACCGAACAUGGAGCUAUCCGAUAACGACCCACGGCAGGUGCUGCAAAACCUCAGACGUAACAUGCAGGCCGCUGCAGAGCAAAACCGGCUACGUCAGUUGCAAGUUGCUGAAGAACAGGCAAACAGGCGGACCACGAUGCUCUACACAGGACUCGGCCUCUCCAUCAUGAUAGUGGUAAUGUUGUACAUUCUCGACCCUUACAUCAUGCUACAAGAUGUCCAAAACAUUUUCACGUACUUUGGCGAAAAUCUUCUGAGCUCAGAUUCGUCGUACUUCCUGUGAAACGUUCACGUCGGCAACAGAACACAAGAACGUAACAAGAAUCUUGCGGACAUCCUGCAGCAAAUCAUCGCCGAAUCAUUAAACACGCGUUCGUAUUUAAAAUGUAUUUGUUAUCCCAAAGCCACAUAUUCUGCUCCCGGAAUAAAAGCCCCUAAACGUGAUGGCGGAACAUUGGAAUAAAUAGCGUCUAGGGAAAGACUGGAAA